CCUUUCAUUGCUGCUAUACUCACAUGAUGUGGAGCUGUUUGAAAAAGUGGACCCCCCAACUAUAUGUGAAGGCUCUCCGUGUGAUCCAGAAUUUGAAAAAGAAUGCCCACCCUUCAAAGCAUUAGUGUUUACACGAGAUCCUAAUCAAACAGUCAGACCAGUAUUCCAUUAUGCAUUUCACUGUAUCAAUGAAGAAUUAAGAUUGCCAUCUUUACUGCUGAGAAGAUUUUCAUCAUGAAUACCUAAAUGGCAGAGAGGUACAGGACAGCAACAUCCAAAUUUGCGGAAGAGGCGGGAUAUAAGGUCCUCCCCGCCGGACCUUACCACCGCCAGCGUCACGCUUUCUGCCGGGCGGCCUCCUCCCGGGGGUGUCGGAGGUGCACAGCAGCGCACCGCCCCGGGAGUGCCGCCCACGGACUGAAGGGGCACCGUUGCGCAACUGCGCAACUGCGCAGGUCUUAUUGGGCUAGGGAGGCUUUGGACUAGUCUGAGAGCAGAGGAUGCCUGUGGUGGCUAACCUCUGCUCUUUCAGUAGCCAUAGAAGGGUGGGGGGAGGAUAGGGAUGCAGGGGAUGCCUGGG